CCUACGGGUGGCAGCAGUGGGGGAUAUUGCACAAUGGGGGAAACCCUGAUGCAGCGACGCCGCGUGGGCGAAGAAGUAUUUCGGUAUGUAAAGCCCUAUCAGCAGGGAAGAAGAAAUGACGGUACCUGAGUAAGAAGCACCGGCUAAAUACGUGCCAGCAGCCGCGGUAAUACGUAUGGUGCAAGCGUUAUCCGGAUUUACUGGGUGUAAAGGGAGCGCAGGCGGCACGGCAAGCCUGAUGUGAAAGCCCGCGGCCCAACCGCGGGACUGCAUUGGGAACUACCGGGCUGGAGGGCCGGAGAGGGAGGCGGAAAUCCUAGGGUAGCGGGGAAAAGCGUAGAUAUUAGGAGGAAAAACAGGGGCGAAGGCGGCCUACUGGACGGUGACGGACGCCGAGGCUCGAAAGCGUUGGGAGCAAACAGGAUUAGAUACCCUGGUAGUC
rnacentral:rRNA from 1 species